AUUGAACGCUGGCGGCAUGCCUUACACAUGCAAGUCGAACGGCAGCACGGGAGCAAUCCUGGUGGCGAGUGGCGAACGGGUGAGUAACAUAUCGGAACGUGCCCGGUAGUGGGGGAUAACCCGGCGAAAGUCGGACUAAUACCGCAUACGACCUACGGGUGAAAGCGGGGGAUCGCAAGACCUCGCGCUAUUGGAGCGGCCGAUAUCAGAUUAGCUAGUUGGUGGGGUAAAGGCCUACCAAGGCGACGAUCUGUAGCUGGUCUGAGAGGACGACCAGCCACACUGGGACUGAGACACGGCCCAGACUCCUACGGGAGGCAGCAGUGGGGAAUUUUGGACAAUGGGCGCAAGCCUGAUCCAGCCAUGCCGCGUGCGGGAAGAAGGCCUUCGGUUGUAACCGCUUUGUCAGGAGAAAGGUUACGAGCUAAUACCUCGGACUAAUGACGGUACCUGAAGAAUAAGACACCGGCUAACUACGUGCCAGCAGCCGCGGUAAACUGU
rnacentral:rRNA from 1 species